AUUGAACGCUGGCGGCAGGCUUAACACAUGCAAGUCGAACGAGUGGCGGACGGGUGAGUAAUGCUUGGGAAACUAGCAAAUGGAGGGGGAUAACUACGGGAAAAUGUAGCUAAUACCGCGUACCAUCGGAUGAGCCCAAGUGGGAUUGGGUAGUUGGUGAGUGAAAGGCUCACCAAGCCGACGCUCUCUAGCUGGUCUUAGAGGAUGACCAGCCACACUUGGACUGAGACACGGCCCAGACGCCUACGGGAGGCAGCAGUGGGGAAUAUUGCGCAAUGGUGGCAACCCUGACGCAGCCAUGCCGCGUGAAUGAAGAAGGCCUUCGGGUUGUAAAGUUCUUUCAGCGAGGAGGCGUUACUCGCAGAAGAAGCACCGGCUAACUCCGUGCCAGCAGCCGCGGUAAUAC
rnacentral:rRNA from 1 species